GAUGAACGCUGGCGGCGUGCCUAAUACAUGCAAGUCGAACGAAACUUCUUUAUCACCGAGUGCUUGCACUCACCGAUAAAGAGUUAAGUGGCGAACGGGUGAGUAACACGUGGGCAACCUGCCCAAAAGAGGGGGAUAACACUUGGAAACAGGUGCUAAUACCGCAUAACCAUAGUUACCGCAUGGUAACUAUGUAAAAGGUGGCUAUACUACCGCUUUUGGAUGGGCCCGCGGCGCAUUAGCUAGUUGGUAGGGUAAAGGCUUACCAAGGCAAUGAUGCGUAGCCGAAUUGAGAGGUUGAUCGGCCACAUUGGGACUGAGACACGGCCCAAACUCCUACGGGAGGCAGCAGUAGGGAAUCUUCCACAAUGGGCGAAAGCCUGAUGGAGCACGCCGCGUGGGUGAAGAAGGUCUUCGGAUCGUAAAACCCUGUUGUUAGAGAAGAAAGUGCGUGAGAGUAACUGUUCACGUUUCGACGGUAUCUAACCAGAAAGCCACGGCUAACUACGUG
rnacentral:rRNA from 1 species